ensembl:lncRNA
GCUCCAUUGGUAAAAUAAACCUCAAAACAAACCUCGUUCGUCCUUUUAGAAGAAGGGAUGACGAGUGAGAAGCCAGCUGGUCCAAGAAGCAUGAAAAAGCAACACAACAUCCAGCACAAACAUCACCAGCGCCACCUGUAAAGACGGGAACUUCCCCAACAGACGCCACGUGAGAGAGAAUAAAUACUGGUGAGGUUUAUUUGGACUUGACAUUUGCAGGCUUUUGUGUACUUGUGAGGGGAUUCAGAGUCAGGCUCUGACUGAGGCAGAAAUGGAGAAGAGGCGAACGUGAUGAAGGGAAGAAGCAGGAAGCAGUGCAGCGUUCAGCCGAGUGAAGCUCAACAGAGAUCAGGGUAAAAAGAAAAGAGGGCAACAGGAAAGAUAAAGCAGACAGAACGAGGAGAUGAGAAACCUCCAAACUAAACCAGCAGGUUUCAGAAGCUCCACAGAAGUAUGAGGUCAGAGUGACAGACAAGGACUACGAUGGCCUCUCCUACACCAUCACGUUGAGACGUCAGAUUGGAGGAACCGGCCUGUGAGACUUUCCCACACUUUAGCUUUCUGAUCAGCAGCCGCGAUGCUCGUUUAAAGAGAACGAGCCAAAGAAUGAGGGAUUUACAGAUAAUUAAACCGGGGCGAGAAAGAGCGAUUAAGAGGAAAGCUUCGAGACACAAUAACACAAAGAUAAAUCAAAAGGCCAUUGAGGACAUGCAGAGGGGGGAAUAAAUGAGACAAGAGACAACACACCCUUUGGGGAAUGAGAAGGAGCCAGAAAAAAGAGUCCAAUGGUGACAGGUUGGGGUGAAGAACGGAGGAGACGCAGAUAAAGGCCACGGCGAACACGUUCCAGAUCCACUCAAAAAAAAUAUGCUUUGGCCUUUCUAAAUAAAAAAAGCCAAAUAAGUCCGUGAGGAGAGAGAGGGACAAAGACAAUGAGAGACAGAGGCUGUUGGUAUACUGGCCUCAAUGUGUCAGGACGGGUUAAAAAAGAAUAUUUAUAAAGAGAAUGCAAUAACAAGACAGAGACAGAGGAGCAGAGGACUUAAACUACUGUGAACUGUUCCUAUUAUGUAGGUAACACAAUAGAUAUCAGCUUAUUUAGAAAAGGAUUUUAUAGUCAACAACAUCUCCUCUUAUGGCAAAACCUCAGGAGAGUUUGUACAUAUUUCAUUACAAAUAAUAAGUAGUUGUUUAUGUUUGGGGCCAUAAGAACUGAAGAGUUGGACGUUUACAGCAUAAACCACGACUUAUAAUUAUAGCAUAUAUAGCAUAUAUAUCAAAGUAGCAUAAUAGUAUUCACUAAAACUGUUGUGUUGAAGAGAGCGGCGUCCUUAAGAGGAAGACAAUGAGUGUCUUCUGCAUGUUGUCCUUGUUCUUUAACCCGUUCACAGUGUGUUUUCCUCACAAGCUUGAUAGAAAUCUCUCAUCCAGCGUUUAGUUCUUCUCAGAAAGGUGAAACUGAAGGGUGGAAACAGGCUCCGCCCACUCGCCAUCGGUACUAAUGAAUAGAAAACCAGCGCUCUCUUUGCCUCGUUAUCGCUCCAUCGUGUUGAAUCCAGGCGAACAACAAGACCCACUGAUUUGUGUAACAUAAACC